rnacentral:rRNA from 1 species
UGGGGAAUAUUGCACAAUGGGCGAAAGCCUGAUGCAGCGACGCCGCGUGCGGGAUGAAGGCCUUCGGGUUGUAAACCGCUUUUAAUUGGGAGCAAGCGAGAGUGAGUGUACCCUUUGAAUAAGCACCGGCUAACUACGUGCCAGCAGCCGCGGUAAUACGUAGGGUGCAAGCGUUAUCCGGAAUUAUUGGGCGUAAAGAGCUCGUAGGCGGUUUGUCACGCCUGGUGUGAAAGUCCAUCGCUUAACGGUGGAUCUGCGCCGGGUACGGGCAGGCUAGAGUGCAGUAGGGGAGAUUGGAAUUCCCGGUGUAACGGUGGAAUGUGUAGAUAUCGGGAAGAACACCAAUGGCGAAGGCAGAUCUCUGGGCUGUUACUGACGCUGAGGAGCGAAAGCAUGGGGAGCGAACAGGAUUAGAUACCCGUGGUAGUCCAUGCCGUAAACGGUGGAUGCUGGAUGUGGGACCCUUCCACGGGUUCCGUGUC